CAGAGUUGCAAAACUCCCAAACCCAUGUGAACAUUACCUGAAGUUUGUUGCUUUGGCAGGCGGUCCCAGGGCGGGGCCUGUCGCUUCUCACGAGGCGGCCUGCCAGAGGACCGAAGACUCUGUCACAGUUAUACUACUCUGAGUUAAAACUAAAUCAGUCA
rnacentral:misc_RNA from 1 species